UCUGAUUUCAAUGACUGAGUAAAACUAUCAUUGUGUACAAUCAGAUGUUAGAAAUACACGAUAUGUUUCACUGUGCUUUUGCCUGCCGAAGUGUUAAAAAAGAUCAAAUCAUUGUGCCAGUUAACCUUCGCGUUACGUUAAGGAUGCGCAGUUUAUUUAUGCAGUGCAACAAGAACCUACACGCGGAUGACAUCAAAGUACUGCGAGAGCGACUCGAAUGAUCAUGGGCAGGAUUCUGAUUUCAAAUCGCUCUCGCGGUAUUUUAACGUCAUCUGUUUGUCAGUUCCUCCAACGCAGCAUUACGUCGAACACCUUGUCAAAAAUGAUUGAGAUGGCCAAUCAAAUUAAAAAAGGCGAGUGCCACUGGCCAAUCACAUAACAGAAAACGAGCUUUCCUGUUAACGCAAGCCGAGCGGCAGCCAAUCAAAUUAACCAAUAGGCGGGUUUACCGCCAGGAGAAGCAGUUACACCUUGUCAAUCAAUCAUAACGGACACGGAUUUCAAAGGCAGCAGGAUGAAAGAUAACCAUCUAUCAGGUCUGAGUUCAUUAAGACAUGAAGACUCUGGAGUGGGACAAGAGAAGGAUGAUGGGGUGUAUAUUCCAAUAGACACAUUAAGGUAAAUUAAAUGUUGAGGCUCAUGUUUGCAUCUUUGUGUUUAUAUAUCAAAAGAUUGCUCUGUGAUUUCAGUGAAAGCUGAUAAAUACAGAGGGCUGGACAGUGGUUUCAUUGAUUAAGUAAAGAGGUGGGACAAUGAUGCUGACAGGACAGGAGGAGGUGACAUUCAGGUUAGUGACAGUACAUCAGGGCCACCAUUUAAUUUAAUGUUAAUUUAAUUGCUUCCAAAAUCAAUAUUGACAAAUCUUUACAAUUAUAUUUGCAAAGCUGAAUUUCUCAUAGGUGGAUAAAGUAUGACAGCAAUUGUGAAGACCUUAGACGUCGUGCAGUAUAUGGUUCUUCUCUCUUUCAUUUAUAUUGAUUUGACUUAAUUUUCUUGACAUUCAGCGCAGACAUUUUCAUCCAAAGCAACUUGAGGAAGAAAACAAGAAGCAGUUCAUCCUAAAAGUGGGCUGCUGUAUGGAAAGAGGAGCUGAGAAGAAAAGAGACGCUGGAAAGCAGAACUUCUUGUUGAGGACAAUCCUGAAUAGGAACACUUUCUCAUAUACACAUAUAUUAUAAUUUAGUGUU